GUGAGUCAUCGAAUCUUUGAACGCACAUUGCGCCCGCCAGCAUUCUGGCGGGCAUGCCUGUUCGAGCGUCAUUUCAACCCUCAGGCCCUGCCUGGCGUUGGAGGACUGCGCACGCAGCCUCCCAAAGCGAGCGGCGGCGGCGCCCCGAAACCGAACGCAGUAGUUACUUCUCGUUCUGGGUCCGGGUCGUUGUCCUGCCGGAAAACCCCCCUCUAAUCAAUGGUUGACCUCGAAUCAGGUAGGAAUACCCGCUGAACUUAAGCAUAUCAAUAAGCGGAGGA
rnacentral:misc_RNA from 1 species